rnacentral:rRNA from 1 species
UACGUAGGAUGCAAGCGUUGUCCGGAAUUAUUGGGCGUAAAGAGCGCGCAGGCGGUAUGACAAGUCAGAUGUGAAAGAGGCCGGCUUAACCGGCAAGGGUCAUUUGAAACUGUCAGACUAGAGUGCAGCAGAGGAUAGUGGAAUUCCCGGUGUAGUGGUGAAAUGCGUAGAUAUCGGGAGGAACACCAGUGGCGAAGGCGACUAUCUGGGCUGCAACUGACGCUGAGGCGCGAAGGCUAGGGGAGCAAAUGGG